UACGAAGGGGGUUAGCGUUGCUCGGAAUCACUGGGCGUAAGCGCACGUAGGCGGACUCUUAAGUCGGUGGUGAAAUCCUGGAGCUCAACUCCAGAACUGCCUUCGAUACUGAGAGUCUUGAGUCCGGGAGAGGUGAGUGGAACUGCGAGUGUAGAGGUGAAAUUCGUAGAUAUUCGCAAGAACACCAGUGGCGAAGGCGGCUCACUGGCCCGGUACUGACGCUGAGGUGCGAAAGC
rnacentral:rRNA from 1 species